rnacentral:lncRNA from 10 species
UGAAGACUGGGGAAGAUGUUGUAAUGCAGUAAGAACGUGUUAAAAUGAGAAAAGUGAUCGUUUAGGUUAGAAUUGCGUACUUUAAUGUCAGCCUGGCUGAAGAACUUUGCCAGUGCUGCGGGGAGUGAUUACUACACAUGCUUGGUUCCCACGGCGGGGGCUCCACCAAAGGCCAGUCUGGCAGCACCUGAAAUGGGGCUGAGCGCUGGGCAGCAUUUCAGCGCUGAUCCUCCUUCAGACAGUGUCAUCCAUGAUCCCAGGUCAGGGUGCUGACAAGGACAGUUAAUGGAUAAGUAGAUUUGCUGGAGGGCAAAUAUUGUCCUUUUGGCUUAUUUAAAUUUUCUGUUUUUCUUUGUGAAAGAAUAUGAGAUCUUUCCAAAUGAUAAAAAGGCAAUAGCCAUUACUUUCAUGCAUGUACAUAUUUGCUUAUUUAUUUAUUUAGAGACAGGGUCUUGCUCUGUCACCCAGGCUGGAGUGCAGCUCGAGCACAGUGGCACUGUGCACAUAGCUCACUGCAGCCUCAUCCUCCCAGGCUCAAGCAAUCCUCCUGCCUCAGCUUCCUGAGCAUCUGGCACUCCAGGGGCACACCACCAUGCCUGGCUAAUUUUUUGAAAAUUAAAACCAAAAAUUCAUAAGGAUGAGGUGUCACCAUGUUGCCCAGGCUGCCAUUACUUUGAAAUAACAAGGCAAAAUUGAAAAAUGCCCCAGCGUGGUUUUCUCUGCCUUUACUCGGUCACGUGGAUAGAAACUUCCAUGGCACAGGGGCUGUUCUCAGGGACGAGGCUCCCAGGAAGCCAAUUAGUGUUUCCUUCCCCUUCAGCCACAUUCCUAGCUAAUGAUGCUGUUAAGUACCAGCCUUCUCCCUGCUCCCUUACUGUUCUGAAUCACAUUGCUGGCUUUAAAAGUGUUUAAUGUAUACCCAAACCUUUGCUUUCAUCUUAUGCAUUAAAAGCAGAAAUGUUAUAUUUUUAAGAGAGACAUCAAAAAGGGAAGAUGUGAGGAUGCAACAGGCUCCCCUUGCUCCAGAAUCCCCCGAGAGGCUGAUUCUCUUCUGUACGUUGUCUUCACUUUGGCUGCAGUGGCCUCUCACAGCUCCCAUCAGUGGACCUGAAGGGGCUUCAUCUCUUGACCUGGGGCCAGGAGCUCUGCAUGCAGAAUGACAGAGGACCCUGGAGAGGCCAGACGGCCAUUCACUGUGGGCCUUGUCAGUGUCUUUCUUCACCCUGGGUUUUACUGAAACUCUCUAAAAAUAAGCAAAGAUUUCCAGGGAAAUCAGCUGCCUCUGGAGGUGUGGACACCUGAACUACUUUAGAAAGUACCAGGACUGCUGUCUCUGAAACCAGAGAGGCAGGACAGUGGCGGGGCACCCCCUGACUUCACAGGGGCCACGUGGUCAGGGCUGGCGAAUUGGCCAGGUGCCAAGGUGGCCUUGUGCCAAGGACUGUUGUGGGUGGACACCACUCUCAGUGCACGCUGGCCAUGCCGUGCAGUGUUUUUGGAAAUGAAGAGCGGUUCAUUUCCUCCCACCUGAGGAAGUUCAGCCACUCAGGUGCAGAGAGGGCCUUGCUGAAUCCACUGAGCUCUGUCAGUUGGAGCCGGUCUGGGUGUGGAAAGAGAUGGGCAGACAGCCAUGGAACCCGUGAUCUCUGUGCAUCCUCAUCCAUGCAAGCCCUGCCUCUCAAAUUCCAGGGUUUGGAUCCUUGGUGAGCUUCCUCACAGAGCACGUGGGUGCAGAGCGUGGCUGGGUCACCUGCCUGCGUGCACAGUGAAGCUGGGCCGGGGUUGCAAUUUAUUCUCACCAGAGGGGACCCAGGGCAUGGCUGCCUUUGAGGGGUCAUGACAAAGGCAGUGUCACUGUCAGAGUCAGGAUGCUGCCGGAGUGCUGGGGAGGGAGCGGGGAAGCAGGUGAUUCAGCCCCCAUCCAGAGUCAGGGAGCCCGCCCUUGUGACGAUGGGAUUGGGGGUCAGGCUCGAUGGGAGGGAGGCGUGCCUGAUGACAGGCUAAUGCCAACCAGGGAGGGACCGAUAUGUCAACUGAGAGCCGUCUGAAGAGCAGCUUAGUCUAGACCUGAAGAUAGCAUCUACAGACCUUUCAAACUUGAUUAAGACACACCUGCCACGCGAAGCAGGUGGACAGCAGACAUGAGCGCCUUAAGACACAACGUGCUGACAUCCGCAAAGGGGCCAGCAGAGCCCCAAGGGGACCUCUGUUCCUGGGCCAGAAGGAGCCUUUCCCUAGAGAAGGUCAUUCCUCGGCUCCAUCCCCCAUAGAACAGUGCAGGAGAGUCACGCAUCCCCGCUAACACCCAUCAGCUGGUGAACGCUUCUCCCAGAUACAUCUCUACCAGGCUGCAGCAGCGUGGGUGCUGCUGUCCCAUGUGCCGGUGGAGGGCCUGAGUGUCGCAGACCAGCUCACUGAAGGUUUCUGGCAGCCCGCCUGGACGCAGAGAGCACUCUGAACCAGCGCCUCGAGCAAUGCUGUGCCCCGUGGGCGACCCAUGGAGCCAAGGGGUGGAGGUAGGAGAGGCUCCUCUUAUCCCCAUCCACAGCAUUGGUUUGGUGACGGGUAUAUCUUCUCCCCACGACUCUGAGCUUUUUAGAUUGUAAAGUCCUGGCUCUGGAGGGGUCGUGCUUCCGUGGGAGACACAGCACAGGUCUCAUUCAACUUCAUGGGUAGCUGCCACCAGGUCACAUCUGGCUUCUGAGCUAAGAGGCCAGCAGGCCGGGGAGAAAGCCCCACACUGGCAGGGCCUGGAGGAGGCAGAAGGCGGAAAGGAGAGAGCAUGGGGCAUGUCCUGGCACGGUGGGAGUGUCAGUGCAUGAACGGCAUGACGAGGGCAGCCUCUAAUUCCCCCCGGGAGCCGCCUCUCUCACGGAGCUGCUGUCCAAGGGUGGAGGGAUCUGGAGUGGGAAUCUGCAGCUGGUCCCACUGAACCCUCUGCUGUGAGUUUCCCGGGUAAAGAGACCCGCCAGGGCAUGGAGGAGCUGCUGGCACCCGGGCCCCACUGCUGUUUGAGGGAUGUGGGGACUGUGAUGGAUGGUGUGGUGCCCGGCCUGGGGCCCCGAAGGGCCGAGGGGCUGGGAGUCGCUGCUGAUGGCUCACAGCCAGGCUGUCUUGGGACGCCUUUUGCCCUUCCCGAGUGUAUGCCUCCGCCUGGGAACGCUCCAGCCAAUGGCUAAUCUAUGCGGUGGUCUGAAGGCCUGGCCCCUUGCCCCAGUUGGAGACCCCUCUGAGGGCAAUUCCAGCUUCCCAGCUCCCAGGGUCGGCCGAGGCUGGGGCUGCAACGGCAUUGCAGCCCCUUGCUCCUGCCGUGCGAGAUGCCUGCUCCCUCUUUACCUUCCACCAUGAAUAAAAGUUCCCUGAGGCACCCCCGAGAAGAAGCCACCAUGCUUCCUGUACAGCCUGCAGAACUGUGAGCCAACUAAACUGCUUUUCUUUAUAAAUUACCCAGUCUCAGGUAUUUCUUUAUAGCAAUGCUAGAAUGGACUAAUAUAAUACCAUUUGACAAAUGAGGAAAAUGCUAGAAUAUUUAAGUGAGUUAAAAAAACUUUUUUUUUUUGAGAUGGAGUAUCGCUCUGUCACCCAGG